rnacentral:rRNA from 1 species
GACGAACGCUGGCGGCGUGCUUAACACAUGCAAGUCGAACGGAAAGGCCCUGCAUUUGUGGGGUGCUCGAGUGGCGAACGGGUGAGUAACACGUGAGUAACCUGCCCUUGACUUUGGGAUAACUUCAGGAAAAUGGGGCUAAUACCGGAUAGGAACUCCUGCUGCAUGGUGGGGGUUGGAAAGUGUCGGCGGUUGGGGACGGACUCGCGGCUUAUCAGCUUGUUGGUGAGGUAGUGGCGUACCAAUGCUUUGACGGGUAGCCGGCCUGAGACGGUGACCGGCCACAUUGGGAUUGAGAUACGGCCCAGACUCCUACGGGAGGCAGCAGUGGGGAAUAUUGCACAAUGGGCGGAAGCCUGAUGCAGCAACGCCGCGUGCGGGAUGACGGCCUUCGGGUUGUAACCCGCUUUCGCCUGUGACGAAGCGUGAGUGACGGUAAUGGGUAAAGAAGCACCGGCUAACUACGUG